GACGGAGGGCGCAAGCGUUGUUCGGAAUUAUUGGGCGUAAAGAGCUCGUAGGCGGUUUGUCACGUCUGCUGUGAAAACUGGAGGCUCAACCUCCAGCCUGCAGUGGGUACGGGCAGACUAGAGUGCGGUAGGGGAGAUUGGAAUUCCUGGUGUAGCGGUGGAAUGCGCAGAUAUCAGGAGGAACACCGAUGGCGAAGGCAGAUCUCUGGGCCGUAACUGACGCUGAGGAGCGAAAGCAUGGGGAGCGAACAGG
rnacentral:rRNA from 1 species